rnacentral:rRNA from 1 species
UACGGGGGGAGCAAGCGUUGUUCGGAUUUACUGGGCGUAAAGGGCGCGUAGGCGGUCAGCACAAGUCAGUUGUGAAAUCUCCGGGCUUAACUCGGAAAGGUCAACUGAUACUGUGCGACUAGAGUGCAGAAGGGGCAACUGGAAUUCUCGGUGUAGCGGUGAAAUGCGUAGAUAUCGAGAGGAACACCUGCGGCGAAGGCGAGUCCCUGGACAAUUCCUGACACUGAGGCACGAAAGCUAGGGGGAGCAAACAGG